GGCAAGGUGGCCGAGUGGUUAUGGCGCUAGUUGUUUGUCCCCCUCAUUCACCAGUAGCAUUAGAUGUCAACUAACAACCUCAAAGUUAGGUUCUUUCCAAUCACUAGUUUCGAUUGAUUCGCGGGUUCGAAUCCCGUCCUUGUCA